rnacentral:rRNA from 1 species
GUGGGAUGCAACUGACCCAUUAUUAAUUAUGAUAAUCUGGAGGUCAUUGACACUAUGAAGAAUGGAGGACAUUUCGGCUAUGGCAUAGUUUUCGACAAUUGUUACCAUUUUGCUUGUGAUUUUCCUAUCUCUAUGUUAGAACAUUAUAAUAGAGAAGAAAAUAAAGUUGCUCGUGAGCUUGCUAAGCUAGCUAGAUUUUUUUUGACUUUUUAUUGGUUUGAGGAACCCCUGAAUAAAGUUGUACCCUUCCAUAAAUGA